rnacentral:rRNA from 1 species
UACGAAGGGGGCUAGCGUUGUUCGGAAUCACUGGGCGUAAAGGGCGCGUAGGCGGCCGAUCAAGUCGGGGGUGAAAUCCUGGAGCUCAACUCCAGAACUGCCUUUGAUACUGAGAAGCUUGAGUCCGGGAGAGGUGAGUGGAACUGCGAGUGUAGAGGUGAAAUUCGUAGAUAUUCGCAAGAACACCAGUGGCGAAGGCGCCGCUCUGGGCCGUGACUGACGCUGAGGAGCGAAAGCAUGGGGAGCGAACAGG